UACGGGGGGUGCAAGCGUUAAUCGGAAUUACUGGGCGUAAAGGGCGCGUAGGUGGUUACUUAAGUCAGAUGUGAAAGCCCCGGGCUCAACCUGGGAAUUGCAUUUGAUACUGGGUAACUAGAGUGUGGUAGAGAGUAGCGGAAUUUCUGGUGUAGCGGUGAAAUGCGUAGAUAUCAGAAGGAACACCAAUGGCGAAGGCAGCUACUUGGGCCAACACUGACGCUGAGGCGCGAAAGCAUGGGGAGCAAAC
rnacentral:rRNA from 1 species